rnacentral:tRNA from 1 species
GGCUCCAUAGUGUUGUGGUUAAUACAUCUGCUUUACACGCAGAAGGUCUGUAGAGCCA